UUAAAAAAGAUUUUUAAAGGGGUCCACUCUUUCUUUGAAAGAGAAUUGCAGCACCCCUACGCCCUUUUCUUUCAUCUUCUCCAUCCCCCGCACACUUCUCACCUCCCAAAAUCCAAAUUUCAAUGGUUAUUCCUAAUUUUUCCAGAAAAUCAUAGAUCCAUGACUUUUUCUUCUUCUCCAUAUCUUUUUUCUUGAAAAUUCGGCUUUCACCUCACCACGGUCGCCUACCAUUAUCGUCGGAAUUUCCGCUCAAUCAAUUGGUCAAAGAAAAAGAAAAAGAUACAGGUGUUAGAGAUCCUCAACAGGUGCAUUGUUGAAGAUCAUUUCUUUUCAGCUAUUUGAUACAGGUGUUAGAGAUCCUCAACAGGUGCAUCGUUGAAGAUCAUUUCUUUUCAGCUAUUUGGUGAGUCCUUCUUGAAUUCGAAGGAACUCCUUAUCCUUUUAUUAUUGUUGAGUGUGAUGUUUCUUUUGAGGUAGCCAUGGACAUGUCAUUGGCACCAUCUAAGAGUAUUAGAGGCUUCAUAGACAGAGUCUAAUGAUGUAAUCGGAGUAGUUCUCCUUAGAAACUACUUCUUCUAAGAAUUAUCUAUUUUUACUUUGAUUAUGACAAGCCCACAUUAGUAUUCUUAAGUCUUCCGCUGAUGAAUAAAUAAGAAAUGAGACCAAGUGGUUCUCUCAGAAGCCAGAAAUUGUUUCUGAGUGCCGGCCACGCCUAGGGUACCCUCUCGGGGCGUGAUAGGGAUUCCAGUAUAUAAUGCGGUCAAUUUCAACAGCGAUCUUAUGAAGGAAAUUUGUGAGCAACUUAAGAUUGCUCAUCGAAAUUCCACAACUUAUCAGCCACAAAUGAAUAGAGCAGUUGAAGUGGUAAAUAAGA